GAGUUUGAUCCUGGCUCAGGAUGAACGCUGGCGGCGUGCCUAAUGCAUGCAAGUCGAGCGACGCAUAUCCAGUCCGUAAGGACCGGGCAUGACGGAGCGGCGAACGGGUGAGUAACACGUGAGCAACCUGCCCCGCAGACCGGGAUAGCCCAGGGAAACCUGGAUUAAUACCGGAUCAUCUCGGUGGAUCGCAUGAUCUGCCGAGCAAAUGCUUUUGCGCUGUGGGAUGGGCUCGCGGCUUAUCAGCUAGUUGGUGGGGUAACGGCCCACCAAGGCAUUGACGAGUAGCUGGUCUGAGAGGACGAUCAGCCACACUGGGACUGAGACACGGCCCAGACUCCUACGGGAGGCAGCAGCAGGGAAUCUUGCGCAAUGGGCGAAAGCCUGACGCAGCAACGCCGCGUGGGGGAUGAAGGCCUUCGGGUUGUAAACCCCUUUCAGGAGGGAAGAAAUUGACGGUACCUCCAAAAGAAGCACCGGCCAACUACGUGCCAGCAGCCGCGGUAAUACAAGGG
rnacentral:rRNA from 1 species